rnacentral:rRNA from 1 species
GCAAGUCGAACGCUCUCGAUCUUCGGAUCAUAUGAGAGAGUGGCGAACGGGUGAGUAACACGUAAGAAACCUGCCCUACAGACGAGGAUAACCAUUGGAAACGAUGGCUAAUACUGGAUAGGAUAUAAAACCACAUGGUUUAAUAUUUAAAGAAGCUUUUAAGCUUCACUGUUGGAUGGUCUUGCGCUGUAUUAGCUAGUUGGUAAGGUAACGGCUUACCAAGGCGACGAUACAUAGCUGGUCUGAGAGGAUGAAC